rnacentral:lncRNA from 1 species
CUAAUAACGAUGUCGAUACCGCAAAAGGAAGGAAGAAGAGAGAUGUACAAAGACAUAAUCAAAUACAUGGAUCAGCCCAAGGCUUACCUCUAUGAGGCAUGUAAGCUUCACUAUAAAAAAAAAAAUAAUACAAGAGGAGAUCGCACUCUCUCAACUCAUAUACAUCAAUCUUUCUCUCAACAAGAAGCACAAAAUCCUCACAA